UACGUAGGGUGCGAGCGUUGUCCGGAAUUAUUGGGCGUAAAGGGCUCGUAGGCGGUUUGUCACGUCGGGAGUGAAAACUCGGGGCUCAACCCCGAGCCUGCUUCCGAUACGGGCAGACUAGAGGUAUGCAGGGGAGAAUGGAAUUCCUGGUGUAGCGGUGAAAUGCGCAGAUAUCAGGAGGAACACCGGUGGCGAAGGCGGUUCUCUGGGCAUUUCCUGACGCUGAGGCACGAAAGCCAGGGGAGCAAACGGG
rnacentral:rRNA from 1 species